GUUUAACUAAGGAUCUGAGAGCAGUACUUCUAACAGACAAGGUGAGGGCUCUAUUCUUUUCCCCUUUCAAGACCCAAAGGUUGUGCCCUGUGAAUAUUUGGGUACAUAGGUGAGAUGAGUCGGAAUGGUUCAUAACAGCUUUCUCACAUUUAUUUCAAAACUGUUACAGGUUUCGUACCUCUCUCUGAGCAGAAAAAAAGAACCUGUUGUGCAAUGUGGCCACAGCUCCACUGACAUCAGAAAAGGAGACUACUCUUCCACAACAAGAGUGAAAGAACCAUAGCUUAAAGGGGAAACAAAGCCAGCUAUUAGCCUCCAGAUGCAAAGGCAGCUCUCAUUACAUAAUGAAGAAAUCUCCCUAAUUUGAUCCAUAAAGAGUCAGCCACUGUGUAAGCAACUGCUACACAAAUCAGCCCCUGGGACUAAAAGAAUCACAGGUGUGGCAAUCAGCAGCUAAAAGGAACUGAAGCAGAACAACCUGAAGUAGUAGUAUAAGGACACUUCUGCCCAUCUGCCUGGAUCUUCAGGGAGGCAAGGUCCGUAAGCAGUGACGUACUAUGUCAACAUUGGAAGUUUGAAGGCCUUCCAAGAGCAGCCCUUCCAGAGACUGCUGCAACAUAGCUGUUAUUCCAGCUAUACGCUACAAAAAAGGAGAGAGAGAAUAAAAAAAGAGCAUUGCCCUCUUUACAGGAGUUAUGUGCAAGAAAAUUUACCAACAUCAACACACGUUUUUUAAAUUAAAAUGUGUACAUUCAGAAUUGUAGUAACAUUAAAAUCCAAUGAUUAAAAUAAA